ACUUCAUCAAACGGAAAAGGUUUUACGUAAGGUAAAUUAAUAGGGAAUCAUGUGUAAAUCAUGAGCUGUCGCGCAACUGUAAUCAGCAUACCAAAAGUUCUGUCCCGGAUAUCCACUGCCAAAGAGCGGGAAGGAUGACAGAUACUGCUGUAAGCCAGGAGACCUGCCUGUUCUGAAUUGACAAU
rnacentral:ncRNA from 1 species